UACGGGGGGGGCAAGCGUUGUUCGGAAUUACUGGGCGUAAAGGGCUCGUAGGCGGCCAACUAAGUCAGACGUGAAAUCCCUCAGCUUAACUGGGGAACUGCGUCUGAUACUGGAUGGCUUGGAUCCGGAAGAGGGAUGCGGAAUUCCAGGUGUAGCGGUGAAAUGCGUAGAUAUCUGGAGGAACACCAAUUGCGAAGGCAGCUCGCUGGGACGUUACUGACGCUGAGACGCGAAAGCGUGGGGAGCAAACAGG
rnacentral:rRNA from 1 species